ACUUCUUCGUUUCCAAGCCGUCAGGGACUUCUGCGAUCGGAUCUUUCCAUCGCACGGUCGCGCCGCCAGGGAUUGCUGUGAUCGAAUCAUUCCCAUCGCGCGUCCGCGCCGCCACCGAUAAGCGGAGAAGGGAAGGGGACGCCCAGACAAGGAGGCGUCGAUCUACGGACCACGGACACGUUGCCGGAAGGCUUAACGCAUUGAUGAGCGGCAAAAACAUGAGGGGAAAAAGGUAGUUUAUGUUCAAAUUAGGUUAGUUCGUGCCUUCACAAAUUAUAGAAAUAGUCAUACAGACUAUAGGCAUUAAAAAUCAAUUAUACGUUUUAUGUUUUUUAUUUGUGCUUGUGGACAGUAGACAUGAAGAGGAAGAAAGCGGAAUUGAUUCAAGCUCUCAAUCAUCGAAGCAUGAUGCCACUGCAAACGACAUGCAACCUAGGGAAGGGGAGCAGCCUAAUCCAAACUAAGUCUAAAGAUUUUUAUUAAUGUCAUGAGGUAAGCAACAGUGAUUUAAUUCCAAACAUUUAUAAUUUCUAUGUCUCUUUAGAGGAAAUGAUAAAUUUGAGGAUUCCAAGAAAAGGUAAUAGCCGGACCAAUAUUUAUUGAUACGCAAACUCCUAAUCCAAAAAUUAUGCCACUAUAAAAUUUCACAAAUCUACAUCUCUUAUGUCGUUGUAUUUCUAUUAGUGCUCAGAUUUGCUAUCUAUUUUUUCUCUUACAGCCUGUUUGGUUUAGGGGAAGUUGGAGUAGGGAAUGGGAAUUGAGAGGGUGGGAAACUAAAAAUCACUUGUAUGGUUGGUGGGUAUGGGAAUUGAGAAAGAAAAGGGAUGGGGAGUUGAGGGGGUGAACUCCCGCUAAUCUCUUCCCAGGGGAGGGCUGGUAAUUCAGCCAGGGAAUGGGAAUUAGCAAACAAAAAACAGUUUGUUUGUUGCGCCAAACAAGGGCUGGUUCAAUUUUGUACGUAAACAAACGUGUCCUCAGCAUCUUCUAUUUGUUUGACUCGCGAACUAAACAGAGGAAUUAUUUUUUCUAUUAAAUUCCUACAAGCAAUUCCCAACAGUAGCCAAACAUGAGACUGGGACUAACAGUUCACUUUCCAAGCCUAAUCACCCAACAAACUCCCUCUUAAAAAAUUCCAUUCCCUUUUCUUUAAACUACCAAACAGACUGUUAUGACUUUAAAAGGGGGGGUUAAUUUUGUUAAGAAAUUGGUGUAAAGAGGGUUAACAUAAAAGAGGGGGGCGGAGGGGGGGGGAAUCUCCCCCCCAUGCUCAAAUCCUGGCUCCGUCCCUGCUUGCAGGUGCGGCUCGACGGCGGCCGGCUCAGCAUGAGGCCAAAGAACAGAGGCAGGCGGGAGCUCGCACGAACGGCAAGUGACGACCAUGAGGGUGAUUCGAGGGCGGUCGUCGAGGCGAGGCAUUUGAAGCCGCAGAGGUGACACGGACUAGCGAGCGGUUCCGAGGUAACAACGACGGCCGGCAGCUCGAGGAGGAGGCGGCGGCAAGGCAUCUCGCGGAGGCUGGCGAGAUCACCGGGACCGCAACAAAAGGCAAGCUGGCGAGUCAAUUCGGAGGCGAACGGGCGGCUCUUCGGUUGGCGGUUCAACGAGGCGAGGAUAUGCCGUAGCGAGGCCAAGUCGGAGCGAAAGCCACUCGGAGCCAGAGUCUGGGCACGAGUCAGCCGCGGUGACUCACGAGAGGCGCAAACCGUGAUUUGCAGAGUGGAGUUGGCAAUUCAGCUUCUUGAACAUCUCAGGUGGUCGGGCGGCUUGAGGCCACGGCGGCUCACAGCACGGAGGCUGAGAAGAAACUGCGGCAGACGCAGAACGGCCGCAGAGGAAAGCAAAGUGUGAUUGGGCAAGCAGCAUUGUUUCCUCCUCCGGGUCGUGAUUGAUUUAACCUCGUAUUCUUGCCAAACCAAAAUAUUAGUCCAUGGCGUUGACUUGUCCGACCCCCAGGGUGUAGCCUUGGUCGUAGAAAAAACGGUUUCAAUAGCUCCGUACAUUUGGAAGGAUAUACACGGACCAGUGCUAGCUUUUGAUCUCCACUUGAUUUAUCUACUACCCUUAUAAAAAGAAAAAAGAACGAAGAACCAAACAAUCAAAUCCAUUCAUCAAUAAGAUCUAAUGGCUCUUAAUGCUUCGAUGUUUGACGCAACAAACCACGCAUCCAGUGUUUAACGCUUCAAGCCAUCCAUCGAUAAAACUGCCCCGCCAUUCAGAAAAAAACAAACAACGCACGCCCCCACGUCCUCUCGCACGACCUCGACCUCCCGCCCCUGCUCCUCCUCCCCUGCCGUUCGCCCUCUGCCCGUUCCUCGCCGCUCCUCCCGAGCCUCCCGCCGCUCCUCCAUUCCUCCGGAGCCGCCCGCCACGCCCUUCCCCGCGGGAUCCCCUUCGUCACGGGAGCCGCCGUCGAGCCCGUCCGUCGCGCUCGACCCGCCCCGGAGCCGCCCUUCGCCGUGGCCCGCAGGUCGCCGAGCCGCCGCCCCGGAGCCGCCCUUCGACGCGGCCCGCAGGUUCCCCAGACGCCGCCCUGGAGCCACCCUUCGCCGCAGGUCGCCGCCACCGGAGCCGCCCUUCGCCACAUGUCUCCUCCCUACUGGCCGCCCUGCCCUCCAUCGCUCUUAUCUUCAAGCCCAAGCAUGAAGGAGGCUAGGACCGAGUGCAGGCAUGCGACCAGGAUCAACAGCAGGAGACAAUGUUACAUUGUGGCUGUUAUUAAUACAAUUUUGACCAAAGGAUUUAUUGUUUUUUUGGCAGAUGGGCACUUGUUCACCUUUGUUGUAGCGCGGAGACUUGUUCCACAUAUUUAAAUGUCUUUUUACGUAUCCUUUGUUUGUUCUCAAUUUGGAUGCUUUCAUGCAGAUCAAGUUAUUAUUGAGGACAAAAUGAAGGGGUGCAUUGCAAUCUAGAUUUGACUAAAUAUGUGGCACAAUCUGUUGACAAACACAUUUACAUUUAAGUAUGUGUAGUAUGCUUCAGGUAAUUAACCACAACAUUUGUUUCGUCAAUUAUUUCCUUUUCAUUUAGUGAAUGUCCUUUUGUUAAAAAGCGCGAGUUGAAUGUGUAAGUACGGAAAAGGUUCUCCCAUUGGGUUGCCACUACAACGAAAUAAACAUGUAAAUGACUGUUAAACAUACUCUAUUUUUGUAAUUCAAAGGCAAUGUUUCUGCCGGUCUCUUGAAAGAACUAAAAGAAAUGCAGCAUUUAUAACUGAAUGUCUACAUUCAUUUUUGGAGAUCACAGAGCUAUAUGUUAACGAGUUAUUAUGUUGAUACACACUGCAUUCAAUUUAGUGAGCUUGUUAUUUUUCUGAUCGGAUUCAGUGGUAAUGGAAUUGGGUGGUGAAGAAAACUAGCAAGCUGCAUAGGAGAAAUUCAUACGUGCACCCGCAUGAAUAAUAAUUUUCCAAAUGUCAAAUAGUUCUAGAAAAACUAUACAUAUAAAUACCUGAAUCAUCUGUGUCUUUGUAAAAUUAGUGGAAAAAUGAUUUGGGAGGAUGAGGUUGCUUUAGUCUUGACCAUGAAGUGCUCUCUGGUAGCGCUGUCGCGGCCAGUCGGCCACUCGCUCUCCAAAUCCUGCAGCUGUGCAUGGGUCCGAUGGACAGGCAUGGCGGCUCAGACCUGCGGGCUCCACGAUCACCACGGCGCUGUCUCCUGGCCUUGCCGCUGGCAGUCACCGAACCCUCACCGGAUUGUCGACCCCACAACUAACCAUCACCCUCAUCUCAUUAGUUGGCUUCCCUCUACUGGAUCUGAAUUUUUAUGGUUGGUUUGCAAAGUGCAGAUGUGUGACCUCCUCUAUGAUGAAGGCAUCGAGGAGAUGAACUUUUGCUUCUCAAGCUUUGAUUUAGUUGAGAUGUUUAAGCAAUAUUGGUCACUUCCAAGUAAAUUUUAUGAUGAUGUGAUAUAUGUCUACUAAUUUCCAUUUUUUUCCCUUUGUGUUCAGGUAUCUAUACUAAAGGUUGCAGUACAACACUAGCUGGUUACAAUUUUGUAGAUUUCCUUUUACCCUUAGUUUGUGCUCCCUCCGAUCCAAAUAUAAGUGUCGCAGCUUUGAACUAAGGUGUUCAACCUUAGUUCAAAACGGCGACAUUUAUUAUGGAUCGGAGGAAGUAGUAAAUGCCAAUUAGUAUAGUCCCUUAAGGCCUAAAAAGUAGCAUAGGAUAUGGGAGCAAAAGGUUCAACGAAAACUUUUAAAACCUGAGAUGCAAGUAUAUUUUGUAGGCUUGUAGUGCAUGCUCACCUGUACGAGCUAGAACUUCCUUUGUGUUGGCGGAAGUGUUAGCCUGGCAUUAUCAGUUGAGUAUAGGGCCUGACCAGUGUUUUGGUCUUUCAUUUACUUUUUACCAACUCAAGUAAAAUGUUUGAAAUAUUAUAUCGGCCACAUCACUAGAAUUUGGUUGGACUAUGGUUGCAUGUUUAAGUGGAAAGAGGGAUCGACCUUCAACGUUGCCUCGUCAGGUUGUUUAGUUCCAACGAGGUCUAAAUCCAUUCCCCCAUCUUGUGUCGAUUGCCUUCUUAGUACUAAUGUUUCCCCUUAGUGACAUUGUCUAUUUGUUGUCCUUUUUUGUUCAUCCUGCUAAGCUACAGGGGUAAUAGUGCUUCCAGUAUUUGUAAUUUUAAAUCAUGGUCAAUUGAUCAGUUAUGGAUCAGAUGGCUUAGUAUGUGAAUAGAGGCUCUUUGCUCCAAUCAAUCAGUGGGAGAUCAAAUAGCUUAAGCUUGCCGUACACAAUGCAAUGUAACUAGAAUAGUCUUUAUCUUUUAAUCAGUUUCCCAGUUAUAUUUCUUCUAGAAUUUAGUUUUUUUACUUUGUGAUUUAUUGGCAUUUUGUUAGAUGAUACAUGCUUCUAAUUACAGUACAGAUCAGGUCCAAAAUCAGGAUACAUGACAGCUGCAAAGCAAAUAUAUCAAAGUUGCUCGGGUGGAUCUAUUGUGGUUCAAGCUCCUCAGGUGGAUCUAAUCAAGACAACUUAUUGACCGUCUUCCAUUUCAACUGAAGCAAUGUGGGGUGGCGCAUGUGGAGUAGGAGGGUAGAAGAGAAGAUGGAGAAGGUGGUUCUUCUGGCCUUAUGUUGAGUGUUGAAUCUGGGGUAUAUGAAAAUACUUGAGUUGAAGAAGAUCCGGUACUGGAUAUAAAUGAUUGAGGAGACGCAUGACUUAAAUAAAAAGAGUUGUGAAAAUAUGAAAUAAGGAAAUUACUGUUUUUGAUUGAGUCUUAAUCUAAAGACGACAUUUGUAUGACGCUUGCAUUCACAAAUUGAAGAAACUGCUGUCGAACACCUUUGUUGGUUGCAAUUA